AUGAGAAAACUGAGGCCCAGCAAGGCAAAAGGACUUACCCAAGGUCAAACAAAGAGUGGAAGAGCUAGAAAUCGAGCCUUUGUUUCCUGAUAUAAGGAAAAGAAGAGCUUGGACAAACCACAGAGUUCGUCUUAGAACCCCUGAUUUUUACAAAGAAGAAAAAUGAACCCUCGAGAGGAGGAAGACACUGAAGCCUGGACAACUUGGUCACUCAAUCAGGAAAAAAGUAGCACAUCAGGAUUAGAAUCUGAGUCUUUUAACACCCAGGCUGGGGCUAUUUCUGCGAAACCAUCAACAGAGGAGGGCAUUUAAUUUAUCUGUUUUCCUUUGGGUCAUCCAGUUGCUGAAGAUAGCCAGAGUGAGCCCUUGACUAAGCUCAUCUCAUGGUUUUUUGCCCUUCUGUUUGGUCCAUUAGGGUCUUUCUUCCUUUUUAAGGGAAGAAACGCAUAUACUUGGCAUGAAAUCAUCAUGAAAUUCAUCAUGCUGGCAGAAAGAUGCUCUGUGAUUAUUAAUUCAUAUUGUUCUCUGUUCUCCAUCCCAUUGAAAAUCAAGACCUCAGACUGAGAAGGGAGUCCAUUUGCAUAAUAUUUUGAAUGUCAGUAAACACAUCUGUCAAUUCUUAGAGCAUAACAAAAUGCAGUCAUACUGUGCACUCAAGGAGUCUUCCAACCAUAUGGUUUGGGAGUCCCACUGUGAAAUCUGAUUACCACAUUAAGCUAAUUGACUUGAAAGAAUGGAG
rnacentral:lncRNA from 1 species